rnacentral:rRNA from 1 species
UCGCCUGUUUUUCAAAAACAUCGCUAGAAAAAUAUUUCCAGUCAAACCUGCCCAGUGAUUUAUUUAACGGCCGCAGUAUCCUAACUGUGCUAAGGUAGCAUAAUCAUUAGUUUUUUAAUUAAAAACUCGUAUGAACGGUUCGACGAGAAAUUUUCUGUCUCUAAAAUACAAAAAACUUACUUUUAAAGUCAAAAAGCUUUAAUAUUCCUAUAAGACGACAAGACCCUAUAAAACUUUACCUUUUCUCUCUCUUACUUAUCAGAAACAACAUUAAUUGAAUAAAGGUUUUACUGGGGCGGUAAAUCUUAUCAAACAAAUUUUACCCAAACAUAAUGAAUGAAGUUCACGAACACUCUAAGUAAUAAAGAACAAGUUACUUUAGGGAUAACAGCGCAAUGUUUUUUUAGAGCCCUCAUCGGCAAAAACGUUUACGACCUCGAUGUUGAAUUGAAGUACCUCCGCGAAGCAGCCUUCGCGAAAGGAAGUCUGUUCGACUUUUUAUUCUUCACAUGAUCUGAGUUCCAAACCGGA